rnacentral:rRNA from 1 species
UAUCUCUGUAGAGUCUGCAUAUCAAUAAGCGGAGGAAAAGAAACUAACAAGGAUUCCCCUAGUAACGGCGAGUGAAGCGGGAAGAGCUCAAAUUUGAAAUCUUAAAGGGUUUCCCUUUACGAAUUGUAGUUUAAAGAAGUGUUUUCUGUUGGUGUUUUGGUAAAAGUUCUUUGGAAUAGGACAUCAUAGAGGGUGAGAAUCCCGUAUUUGACCAUUACUUCCAGCGUUGUGAUACACUUUCAAAGAGUCGGAUUGUUUGGGAAUGCAGUCCAAAAUGGGUGGUAAAUUUCAUCUAAAGCUAAAUAUUGGCGAGAGACCGAUAGCGAACAAGUACCGUGAGGGAAAGAUGAAAAGAACUUUGAAAAGAGAGUUAAACAGUACGUGAAAUUGUCAAAAGGGAAGCGUUUGACACCAGUGUUGUUUUCUCGAAAAUCAAUUAAAAAAAGUUGGAUUUUGUAUUGUUAAGACCUUAUCAGCUUACUGUACUCUUUUCUUGCUUUUUUUAAUGCACUUUUCGUUUAACAAGUCAACAUCAAUUUCUUUUGUUGUAAAAGAGUCAUUGGAAGGUGGCUUUCACUUCGGUGAAAGUGUUUAUAGCCUUUGGCUUCUGCAAUCGGAGAGAUUGAGGUCUGCAGCGUAGAUCCUUCGGGGCUAGAUACGUAGAUGCUAAGUUAUAGUUUUUUAUAGACAACUUGUUGACUAUAAUUAAUCAUGUAGCUUACUCGUUUGCGCUAUUUUACCUACGCUUAGGAUGUUGAAGAUGUAGCACAUCA